rnacentral:lncRNA from 1 species
CCCAUCUUCAGCCUUUAUAAGUGCCGUUCAUCCCCUCGCUCCGGUCAGUAAUCACUUCUGCUCUAUCUGUAAUCAAUCUUGUUUCUCAUUGUUUAUUUUUUAAGUGUGCUGAAUUUGCGCUAUCCUGUGUUUGUCUUGUGCUUGUUACCAUAGCUAAAAAUAGUUUGCUUUAUUUUAAUUUUAUGAUUUUGUUUGAAAGGUAUUGAUCUUUAAAUCUGAAAUGAUCCAGUAGCACACUGGUGAGGUUCUGUAGGCUACUGGAUCUAUUCAUAUUUAGAGGUCUAAAGAAGAAUUCAAUUGGCUUUGUGGAUUUGAUUAACACGGUGUCUAUGAUGAUUAAUUUUAAGGCUGGUUUCUCAAAAACAUUCGCAGUGGCCGUCUAAGAACUUUCGCCUUCGCCAGGCUUGAGAGUUAAUGCUGCUUCAAUCCUUCCUUGGAUGUCUGAGACACUAUGCGUUUGAAUAUCUGUGUUAAUACUACAAAUAUGCUUUGUGUGUGUGUCUUUCAUUAUUGGUUCUGUUCUUAUUUAAUGUUUUUAGAAUUUGGUAAAAGUGUAAUCUUUUUUGAAAAACAUAUUGAUUUCAGUUUCAUUUAUAAUAUUGGGACUUUGAAUGUCUGCCCCUCGAGCAUUGGAAUUGGAUUGCUUUAGGGAUGAUUAGUCCCUGAAAUUCAAUUAUUUCAUCCAUCCAUCACUUUGUCAGCAUUUCUUUUUCCAAUGAUGCGCUGGCCAUGCAGGGGUGGAACAAUUUUUUCUCCUUAUUACAAGUAAAAAUGUAAAUUAGUUUGAUGUCUCUGAUGACAAAUCCGAAGGCUUGUUUCUCAAAACAUUCGCAGUGGCCGCCUAAGAGCUUUCGCCUUCGCCAGGCUUGAGAGCUACUGCUGCUUUUAUCCUUCCUUGGAUGUCUGAGACAUCUCUAUCUCCAAUGUGCAUAAGGGUUUGAAAUCAUGCGUUUUGCUUUGAAUUGUUGUGUUUUUAUUUAUGGAUCAGUUAUUGUUAUAUUGGCUUUAUUAUUGAGAUAAUAAAAUAGAUUUCAUUAAUCAAAUAUGUGGAGAAAAGUCAAGGCUAAGGAAUAUUGCUCAUUUAGGUUAUGUCAGAUGUGCGUUUAGCUUCAAUUUAUGAAUUAAAUGGACGCUCACUGAAUUAUACCACUGGUUAUCACUUGCUCACUGAAGAAUAAAUGGUAACUGAAUGCUUACUCAAUUUUUCAUUAAUUUACCCAUCCAUCACUAGAUCUAAAUCUGUUUGUACAGUUGGCAAAUAAAUUCUAUGUAGAUAUAAAAAAAAUGACUUGGACGAUGAAUUAUGCCCACAUCAUCUAAAAUUAUUAUUUUUUAAAUCCCAAAAUGAUAAAUUAUUAACAAUUGUUUUCUGGAUGGCCAAAAUCACAGCUCUAAGAAAUUAGACAUGAAAUUUAUCCCCAAAUCAUCUUCAUCUUCUAAUCACAUCUUCUAAUCUAACUCAUUCAAUUGGUAAUUUCAGCUUUGUAAUCCAUAUCCAAGAUAUCUACAUCCCAAUUAAUUGAAAUUUACACUGCACGGUUCAUUCCAAUUGUCUGCGUUGUUCUUGAUUUUAAAAAAAAAAAAAAAAAAGGAAAAAAAAUUGGUUAUAUGAUUCAUCUACAAUUAAAUCUGCAUGGUGAAAUUUCAUAAGAUGGAGGUGUGAAGUCUGCAUCAAGUCACUAACGACCUUUGGCAAAUUGCAGCUUUGGAUAUGGCUUGAUUAGUUGAGUUCAUUCAAAAAAAAGAACCGAAAAGUAAAAUUGUGAGGAAUCCACUCUAUUUUCUUCCUUAGUGUUCCUUGCUGAGGCUUCUUUCUCAAAGAAUCGAUCAUUGAAUGCUGAAUUACUUUUGCAGUACUAGUAGGAUAUAAGCCCAUCUUCUUUACUUCUGCAAUAUCGACAGGAUAGAAGCCAAUCUCAUGAUUUUGAGAAGUGGAUGAAGAGAUUUUGUUGACGAAUUUGGUUCUUCAUAAGGUUAGGUUUCAAUUGGGGAUUUCAGAUUUCUCUCUUCUAUGGAGAUUGUCAUUUUUAGAAGAAAAAUGGAAUAAAAUUGCUAUUUUAACAAUUGCAUUCUUAUCCAACGUGUAUUCAACUAACGCCGUCAUUGCCAUGUCAAGUUUUCAUCCUCCACGUGGAAUUUAUUGGCCAAUUGUACAAAUGGAUUUAGGCUAGUGAUAGAUUGGUAAAUUAAUUGAAAGUUGGGUGAGCAUUCAGUUACCGUUUAUUUUAUUGUGAGCAAGUGGUAGCUAGUUGUAUAAUUCAGUGAGCAUCCAUUUAAUUAACUCUUGCAAUUGCUAUAUUAAACAAACAAAAUAUAAUGUAAUAGGUGUGAUAACAAAGUUCCUACCGUUGAUAUGUCGUUGCCAAAUCGGCGAUGCAUUUUUUUAUUGACAUUGUUUUGACUUUUGCCUCACAUCUAUUGUCACUUCAUUUCAAUAAUGAAGUUUAACUUUCCCACGGGGUUUGAAGCUCAUAUAGUGUUUUUAUACAGCAAGUUUCACAGUCCUCUCAAAUCUGUCCCACCUCUUCUAUGUGAGAGGGAUGUUAAACUUGUUGUAUAAAAGUGUUGUACACCUAACAAUCUCACCAUUCCAAAUGACUUCCCCACCCACCCCAAUAACUACUUACCUGCCCACCCACCGAUAAUUUAUCCACUAUCCGCCAAGUUUCACAUAUUCUUAUUUUAUAUUGAGAAAAAAAGUUACAAUAGGUAAAAAAAAACCUUUCUUCGCUUCUCCAGGGUCAUCUCUCUUUUUAUAAAGUAUAUGUACUUUUUUAGUUAUUUACUAAUAAAUUUUCAAAAAAAAUUAUUUUAUAUGCUUUGAUUCGUGUUUAAUCUUGUAAUCUCUAACUGAGUUUUUCUUUGUCGGAUGAAAAAAAUAAUCUUGCGUGUUGAUUAUGUGUAUAAGCGGAUUAUUCUUCGUAUGAUUUUAAAGAAAAUGGAAUUUUCAUGGAUCCAAUAUCUAAUUUUUUAAUUUUUUGAUCAUAUACUUUUGAAUAUUUUAGUCAUUUGGGGUACAUAUACUUUUGAUUUCAUGUAAUUUGUAAUGCAACAAUAAAAGUAUAGGGUAUAUUAUGAACAAUGGCAUUGCAGCAGGAGACAAUCUAAUCGUUGUAUUUUGUGCCCAAAGCCGUAAAAAUUUUCCCUUUCUGGAGUUCAUAUUCAGUGAUGGCUAUCGUGAAGCAUGCAUAGGAUUAACAGGUUUAUAAUUGUCUGGAUGGUUCAAAACAUAAGAUGUCAUGUCAAGCGUGGUGAUGUACUUGAAACUUCAUAAAACCUUUGUGGGUCUUUAUUGAUGGUUUCAAGGGUCAUCGUCUCAUCUGGAAGUAGAAAUGAUGCAUAUACAAUUUUACAGAGAUGACAACACUUGAUUGGUUGUUUUUGUUGUAAAAUUAAUGUGAUUUGUGUAAUAUGUUAUCAAUUAUAAGCAUGAAUCAAAUAAAUAAACUAGUCUGCGUCUCAUGCGUUGCACGAAUUUUGCAUUUAUUUUGGUU